CCUUCGGGGUGUAAAGAGCUUUUCUGGAGGAAGAAGUUUCGGCUGACAGUACUUCAGGAAUAAGGGGGUGCUAAUCACGUGCCAGCAGCCGCGGUAAUACGUGACCCCCAAGCGUUAUCCGGAUUUAUUGGGCGUAAAGCGUCUGUAGGCGCCCCGCCAGGUUUUCUGUUAAAUCUCUAGGGCUUAACCUUAGAACUGCAGAAAAAACCGGCGGGGUAGAGGGCGUUAGAGGCUGAUGGAACGGUCGGUGUAGAGGUGAAAUUCGUUGAUAUCGACCGGAACACCAAAAGCGAAGGCAUUCAGCUGGAGCGACCCUGACGCUGAGAGACGAAAGCGUGGGGAGCAAAAAGGAUUAGAUACCCUUGUAGUCCACGCUGUAAACGAUGGACACUGGCUAUUUGAAGUGUCGACCCUUCAAGUGGCGAAGCUAACGCGUUAAGUGUCCCGCCUGGGAAGUACGGCGGCAACGCUAAAACUCAAAGGAAUAGACGGGGACUCACACAAGCGGUGGACCAUGUGGCUUAAUUCGACAACAAGCGAAGAACCUUACCAGGGCUU
rnacentral:rRNA from 1 species